rnacentral:misc_RNA from 1 species
GAUGAAGAACGUCGCGAAAUGCGAUAAGUAAUGUGAAUUGCAGAAUUCAGUGAAUCAUCGAAUCUUUGAACGCACAUUGCGCCCCCUGGUAUUCCGGGGGGCAUGCCUGUCCGAGCGUCAUUACAACCCUCAAGCUCAGCUUGGUGUUGGGCCCCGCCGCCCCGGCGGGCCCUAAAGUCAGUGGCGGUGCCGUCCGGCUCCGAGCGUAGUAAUUCUUCUCGCUCUGGAGGUCCGGUCGUGUGCUCGCCAGCAACCCCCAAUUUUUUUCAGGUUGACCUCGGAUCAGGUAGGGAUACCCGCUGAACUUAAGCAUAUCAAUAAGCGGAGGA